rnacentral:lncRNA from 1 species
UUUCUUUAUCUUUUUUCCUUUUAAGGGAUAAUUGCCUAUAUUCCCAUCAAAAUUUUAGAAAUACCUCAUUUACCUCUAUUUAUUUUUUCUUUCCAAUAUACCUCUCAAUGCCUCAUAUGUUCCUCCGUUAUUUCAAAAUACCCCUACAGUUACCACCGGUUAAGUUAACCUGGGUUAAACGUGAGUUAAAUAUCUACCACAGUUAAAAAAAAUUAAAAUACCAAUUUUACCUUUAACUUAAGGGCAAAUAAGAAAUAUUGGUGACGGUAGAGGGAUAUAUUUGAAAAGAUCAAGAGUCAAAAUACUUUUUGUACCCGUGAUUUAAGGGCAAAUAAGAAAAGUCGGUGAUGGUGAGAAUGUAUAUUUGAAAGGGCAAAAUAGUAAUUUUAUACAGAUAACAUAAUUUAUUAACUAAUUUUAACUCUAGGCCACCGUUUGGUUGGGGGUUAAGGGGUGGAAUAACUCCUUAACCCCCAAUUUAUACCCAAACACCACUCUUUUGGGAUGGGGUUAGUAAACCCCACCCCAAACCGGGUUAGUGGGGUUUACUAACCCCACUCCCCCUCCCAACUUUAAUCCCGCACGUAUUCCGAGCCCUCAUCUUUUUCUUCUUUAUCAAUCAUUAACCCCACUCCCCCUCCCAACUUUAACCCCGCACGCAUCCCGAGCUCUCACCUUUUUCUUCUUUAUCAAUCAUUAUCUUUUUAUCCCACCUAUUCCAACCAAACACUUUUUUUCACUAUCCUAGACUAACUCCAACCUCUAACCAAACACAAAAAAUUUUAACACCAUUUUAACCCUGAACUUAACCCUAUCCCUGGAAUAGCUACUUUUUCUUAAUCCCGAACCAAACGGAGGCUAGAGGUAUAUAUAUUUGAAAUAUAUUGUAACGUAAAAAGAGUAUUUUUAAUAUUAAUCUUCUAAGAGGGGUAAAUUAAAAAAUUAAAAAAUUUUCAGGGGUAUAUAAGC